UUAUUUAAAAGAAGCAAUUGCUUCACUACUUGAUGAUCCCGCGUUGUAUUAGCUAGUUGGUAGUGUAAAGGACUACCAAGGCGAUGAUACAUAGCCGACCUGAGAGGGUGAUCGGCCACACUGGGACUGAGACACGGCCCAGACUCCUACGGGAGGCAGCAGUAGGGAAUCUUCGGCAAUGGGGGCAACCCUGACCGAGCAACGCCGCGUGAGUGAAGAAGGUUUUCGGAUCGUAAAACUCUGUUGUUAGAGAAGAACGUUAAGUAGAGUGGAAAAUUACUUAAGUGACGGUAUCUAACCAGAAAGGGACGGCUAACUACGUGCCAGCAGCCGCGGUAAUACGUAGGUCCCAAGCGUUGUCCGGAUUUAUUGGGCGUAAAGCGAGCGCAGGUGGUUUCUUAAGUCUGAUGUAAAAGGCAGUGGCUCAACCAUUGUGUGCAUUGGAAACUGGGAGACUUGAGUGCAGGAGAGGAGAGCGGAAUUCCAUGUGUAGCGGUGAAAUGCGUAGAUAUAUGAGGAACACCGGAGGCGAAAGCGGCUCUCUGGCCUGUAACUGACACUGAGGCUCGAAAGCGUGGGGAGCAAACAGGAUUGGAUACCCUGGUAGUCCACGCCGUAAACGAUGAGUGCUAGCUGUAGGGAGCUAUAAGUUCUCUGUAGCGCAGCUAACGCAUUAAGCACUCCGCCUGGGGAGUACGACCGCAAGGUUGAAACUCAAAGGAAUUGACGGGGGCCCGCACAAGCGGUGGAGCAUGUGGCUUAAUUCGAAGCAACGCGAAGAACCUUACCAGGUCUUGACAUACUCGUGCUAUCCUUAGAGAUAAGGA
rnacentral:rRNA from 1 species